rnacentral:rRNA from 1 species
AUUGAACGCUGGCGGCAGGCUUAACACAUGCAAGUCGAGCGGGGUGAUGGUGCUUGCACCAUCACUUAGCGGCGGACGGGUGAGUAAUGCUUAGGAAUCUGCCUAUUAGUGGGGGACAACAUCUCGAAAGGGAUGCUAAUACCGCAUACGUCCUACGGGAGAAAGCAGGGGAUCACUUGUGACCUUGCGCUAAUAGAUGAGCCUAAGUCGGAUUAGCUAGUUGGUGGGGUAAAGGCCUACCAAGGCGACGAUCUGUAGCGGGUCUGAGAGGAUGAUCCGCCACACUGGGACUGAGACACGGCCCAGACUCCUACGGGAGGCAGCAGUGGGGAAUAUUGGACAGUGGGGGGAACCCUGAUCUAGCCAUGCCGCGUGUGUGAAGAAGGCCUUAUGGUUGUAAAGCACUUUAAGCGAGGAGGAGGCUCUUUUGGUUAAUACCCAAGAUGAGUGGACGUUACUCGCAGAAUAAGCACCGGCUAACUCUGUGCCAGCAGCCGCGGUAA